GACGAACGCUGGCGGCGUGCUUAACACAUGCAAGUCGAGCGGUAAGGCCCUUUCGGGGGUACACGAGCGGCGAACGGGUGAGUAACACGUGGGUGACCGCCCUCAGCUCUGGGAUAAGCCUGGGAAACUGGGUCUAAUACUGGAUAUGACUCCACGGUGCAUGUCGUGGGGUGGAAAGCCUUGUGCGGCUGAGGAUGGGCCCGCGGCCUAUCAGCUUGUUGGUGGGGUGAUGGCCUACCAAGGCGACGACGGGUAGCCGGCCUGAGAGGGCGACCGGCCACACUGGGACUGAGACACGGCCCAGACUCCUACGGGAGGCAGCAGUGGGGAAUCUUGCGCAAUGGGCGAAAGCCUGACGCAGCGACGCCGCGUGAGGGAUGACGGCCU
rnacentral:rRNA from 1 species